UACGGAGGAUCCAAGCGUUAUCCGGAUUUAUUGGGUUUAAAGGGUGCGUAGGCGGCCUGUUAAGUCAGAGGUGAAAACUUGCAGCUCAACUGUAAGCUUGCCUUUGAUACUGAUGGGCUUGAAUAAACUAGAGGUAGGCGGAAUGUGACAAGUAGCGGUGAAAUGCAUAGAUAUGUCACAGAACACCAAUUGCGAAGGCAGCUUACUAUGGUUUAAUUGACGCUGAGGCACGAAAGCGUGGGGAUCAAACAGGAUUAGAUACCCCCGUAGUCC
rnacentral:rRNA from 1 species